AUGUUAGCGGCGGACGGGUGAGUAACACGUGGGUAACCUACCUAUAAGACUGGGAUAACUCCGGGAAACCGGGGCUAAUACCGGAUAAUAUUUUGAACCGCAUGGUUCGAUAGUGAAAGACGGUUUCGGCUGUCACUUAUAGAUGGACCCGCGCCGUAUUAGCUAGUUGGUAAGGUAACGGCUUACCAAGGCGACGAUACGUAGCCGACCUGAGAGGGUGAUCGGCCACACUGGAACUGAGACACGGUCCAGACUCCUACGGGAGGCAGCANCC
rnacentral:rRNA from 1 species